rnacentral:snoRNA from 17 species
GGUUCAUGAUGACACAGGACCUUGUCUGAAUAUGAUGAUUUCAAAAUUUGAGCUUAAAUUGACACUCUGAAAUC